ensembl:lncRNA
CAAGACUCUUUUCGGACAUGUGAAGUUUGGGGAAGAUCGGACAUCUUAUGCCUGAGUUACAACAACUUCUAUUCCCAUGGCGAGACAUCGAACUUUGUCACGGUGCCAUGGCCACACCCUUUAAUGAAACCUCAAGAUGUUCACAAUUUAACAUCGCAAAGGCCUUUAGAUUAGACUGACCAAAAAAAAUUAUAAAAUGUCAUAAAAUUUCUAGGAGUAGUUUGUUACGGCGUAAAACAUGUCACUUCCUGUUGCCAGCAGGUGGCGCUAUAGCGAUAUCUGAAUAUUGGCAUGUAGAUAUAUUCAGGUCAGGAGUCUUCUCAAACAUGUGAAGUUUGGGGCAGAUUGGACAUUGUAUGUCUGAGUUAUAGCAAC